rnacentral:sRNA from 1 species
GAACCGGAAUGGCAGUCUGAUCUGCACAGCUUCCAAAGACAAGAAAGUGAGAGUCAUUGAUCCCAGGAAACAAGAGAUUGUUGCUGAGAAGGAGAAAGCACAUGAAGGAGCAAGACCCAUGAGAGCCAUCUUCCUGGCCGAUGGCAAUGUCUUCACCACUGGGUUCAGCCGCAUGAGCGAGCGGCAGCUGGCUCUCUGGAAUCCGAAAAAUAUGCAGGAACCAAUUGCUCUUCAUGAGAUGGACACUAGCAAUGGGGUGUUGCUGCCUUUCUAUGACCCUGACACCAGCAUCAUUUACUUAUGUGGAAAGGGUGACAGCAGUAUUCGCUAUUUUGAGAUCACGGAUGAAUCCCCGUACGUCCACUACCUCAACACAUUCAGCAGCAAGGAGCCUCAGAGAGGGAUGGGUUACAUGCCCAAGAGGGGACUUGAUGUUAACAAAUGUGAGAUUGCCAGGUAAAGAAUCGAGAUUGUCAAGUAUUCUAGGUUGGUGUAACUGUGUGACAAUUAUUUGUACUUAGACUAGCAUAUACUUCAGAUCUCAAAAAUAUCUGACCAUUCUGAGCAAGAAAGUAGUAGAAUUGUACACAUUGCCAUGAGAUGGCACUUUCUAAGGAUAUCACUAAAACUGAGUUUCUUCAUUAGAAAAAAAUCUC